AAUUAAGCAACGAAGAGAAGAGUAAGUUAUCACGUCCUGUGAAGAGAGCUGCGGUUGAUGCGAUGCAGCCAGGAUAAUUAACUGAAGAUGAUCUCUGAGCCUGACUGGGGGUAGGUCAACCACGACCCAUGCUACCCAGUCCGUUAGCAAUCGAUAUCUUGCGGAGUAUAACAGGUUAACUGUCGUACUUAUCAAGACUUGAAUUGUGAAGUUCAGGUAAAUUUCAGGUGGUAACGCGAAUCCUUCGUCCCGAGU
rnacentral:ncRNA from 1 species